AUCUAGGCUCUUGCAUCGAUGAAGAACGUAGCGAAAUGCGAUACUUGGUGUGAAUUGCAGAAUCCCGUGAACCAUCGAGUCUUUGAACGCAAGUUGCGCCCGAUGCCAUUAGGUUGAGGGCACGUCUGCCUGGGCGUCACAUAUCGAAGCCUCCUGCCAAUUUU
rnacentral:rRNA from 1 species